UACGAAGGGGGCUAGCGUUGUUCGGAAUCACUGGGCGUAAAGGGCGCGUAGGCGGCUUUAUAAGUCGGGGGUGAAAGCCUGUGGCUCAACCACAGAAUUGCCUUCGAUACUGUAGAGCUUGAGACCGGAAGAGGUAAGUGGAACUGCGAGUGUAGAGGUGAAAUUCGUAGAUAUUCGCAAGAACACCAGUGGCGAAGGCGGCUUACUGGUCCGGUUCUGACGCUGAGGCGCGAAAGCCAGGGAGCAAACGGG
rnacentral:rRNA from 1 species